AACGAGGCCGACCUGCGGCUGAGUUACCUGCGGAGGGAUCAUUAAAGAGAAAACUGCCCUUUGGGUAGAUCUCCCACCCUUUGUUUACCUUACCUUUGUUGCUUUGGCAGGCCCGUCUUCUGACCACCGGCUUUUAGCUGGUCCGUGCCUGCCAGAGGACCCCCAACUCUUGAUUUCAAGUUGUCCGAGUCUUAUAUAAUAGUAAAAACUUUCAACAACGGAUCUCAGAUCGGAAGAGCA
rnacentral:misc_RNA from 1 species